GUGUUUCCUACAGCAUCUCUCCCCACUGCUCUCACUGAGCACCUUUGCUGCCCUCUGGCUCACAAUCCUGGAGCUUCAUGGACAAAUACAUGCAUGCUGGCUCCAGUGGACUUACUGCUGGAGGCCAUUCCAGAGUCUCUGAAGAAUAUGCUGCCGUAAUGGAUACAGCUGGGAUAUUCCAUAGUGCUGACUCACGGACAGGAUACUCAGAUCUCUGGGAGAUCACCUGGGAGCGCAUUGACUGUUUCUUACCUCGGCUGCGGGAUGAGCUCUUCAAACAGACAGUCAUUCCAGAUCCUGUCCCCAACAAUACCAAUGGAGCAGCAGCAUCAGAAAACAGUAGUGUCUGCCCUGCCCCCUUCUCCUGUGGGGGAUGUGAGGCCAUCCACCCAUGUGGCUCCUUUGGAGAAGCCUUGUGAACUGGGUGUCAGUGAGUCCGAGAGAGCCACUGCACCUCCCUCACCCACCAUCAGCACCUCUGCCUCUCCUUCUUCCCAGCAUCAGCUUCAACAAAGGCAGCCCCGUUACAGACAUACCUCCUAUGACAGCACAGCCGCCGCUCAUCCUGCAGCCUCUUGCCUCUCCCCUGCAGGUUGGGGUGCCACCUAUGACUCUUCCAAUCAUUCUCAACCCAGCUCUAAUUGAAGCCACCUCUCCUGUUCCCCUCUUAGCUACUCCACGGCCCAGUGACCCCAUGACAACCUCUGAAGUCAAUUAGUUGGAGGGUGUUGGAGAACUGUCUGCUGAGGAAGCUCUGUGGAUGGAGGAUGCUAGGAUGCUGGCCAAAUGUUCUCCUGGUAGUGGGCAUGUUUGUUUAAAAGAUGAUGCUAACCUGAGCAGAAGGGCUGUUGCUGCAGUCCUCUGGAGCACAUCCCAUCCUGCUCCCUUCUUGGGCAUCACCUAGAAAUCUGCCCAAAAAUCCCUGUCUCCAUGGAGGAGUGCCCAGUUCCACUGGGCAGUCUCUUUCUUGCCUUUGCAAUCUCAGGGGCCAGCAAGGUCCAUGCCCAGCAGCCUGGGACCAAAGCUGCCACCAAUUCAUCUGGUAAAGAGGGAAAACUUGUUGAUGUCACACCAGAGAGGGAUUGCAGUACAGGAUUGCCUCUCAAGAUUACUCAGUCCAGUCCCUGGACAAUUCCCCAGCCAUUCCCUAGCUUUCCUGCUCACCCUUCUGGUUGCAGUGCUUUGUUUGGGCUCUGGGCACGCCUGGGUUCAGCAGGUAGAGAAUUUUAUUAGACAUGUGGAUUGCUACAAUGCAGCUCCCAGUUUGCCACAUAGGGCUUCUUGCCUGCUGGCACAUGCUUUCCCUCCGGCAACACAGAUGACAGCAAUCCCCAAGCCAGAUACAGAUUAAGCAGCAGCCGAGUCUGAUAGGGGCAAGCGUGGCUUUCAUCCCUGCUCCUGUAAAUGUAAUCAGGCUUUCUGGUUGGAGAGAGCAAAUCCAGAAGGCUCUGCCUAGCUGAGCAGAUGAGAAGGAAAUGCUGAGAGCAGAGCACCAUGGCCAUGUCUCACACAGCACUUGAGGAUCAGUGAUGUGUUGCUUGCCACUCGCUACACAUUGGUUUCUUGGUGACCAGCCCCUUGCUUAGGAGAACAUCCUCUUCAGCUACAGAUGUGGGGAUCUGUGGCACCUGCUGACAGAUGCCCAGCAGGUCUGCAGUGGUUUUUCUUGGAAGCUCUGAAGAGAUUGCACCCUCUGCAUCUUCUAGUUUGUUGGGAUCCCACGUCCUUCUACCCCAGAAGGCCCCUAUAGCUGAGGCCCUGGCAGUGAUUCUUGUGCUUCCACCUGCUGCAAGGACACCCCGCUCUCUUCCCCCUGCUCAUGUCCAGAGCAGAGCUGGCUGCCUGGCAAGCGCUGCAUCGCUGAUCUUCCUCCCUCCACUAGUUGGCUAAAUUCUCAAUAAUUUCAAUCUUGGAAAUCCCCCUGGUGACAGGGAGAGGCAUGGGGUGGGACUCCAACCCAGUGUAUCCUGUAUGGAGAGGAACCUGCAGUUGGUGUGGGAAUACAACCAGUGUACAUACAGAGUAAAUGGCUACAAAUCCAAUGGACUUUUUACAGUGUAAUAAAUACAUCCUGUAAAUGAAUGUUCCAGUGUUGCACUCCUUUUCUGUCGUGGAACUUUGGCUCAGAGCUUUGGGAAAAGUGGAGUUUGCUUGUCAAGGUGCUGUGCCCUGGCUCCACAUACCAAGAUCUUUCAACAGAGCGCUCUGUGUGGAGGGAGCACAGGGACUUGUCAUCUCAUGGCAGGGCUGCAGUGGAGGUUGCCCAUCAAGGGACUAAUCAGGAAUGGUUCCCAUCAUGGACAAAGCAGAGCUGUAAUAGUGAGAUUGCUCUGGAAGAAAGGAAUCAUUUCACAUGGGCUGUAAAAUUUUUGGUGUUACAUUGGUGUAUGCUCAUGCACCACCAGGACUGAGGGCAGAGAUAGGGCUGAGGAGCAGGUGCUCUGCACAUCUGGUCAUGGUGCCAGAACAUAGACCUCGGUGACAACUCAGCUGACAUUGGUGAUUCUCUGAUGAGGAAGAAAUCCUUGUUUCCAUGGACAGGACUCAGAGUUGGAGAGGGCGUAAGACGUACUUCCAGGGUACUUGUCAUGGAUUUGAACAAUUACACUUCCCUCCUGGUAUUUUCUACUUUGUUUCAUGGCAAGAUCCACGCAGUGCCACGGUGUUCUCAGAGCUGCAUGAGGCACCAGUGUGUUCCCUAUUCCAAGAGACUCCUACAGACUUGGUAAGGGGGUUAAAAACUUGGGAGUUUGUUUGAAUUGCAUAAGAAAAGGUCUAAAUACUGCAUCAUGGAAGAGUAAUGUGUGUACUAGGAGAGUCCUGAUAAUAAAUCCUGGUUCCCUAACUCCAUUUCUACCAUUCCUGGAAUAUUUUCACUGCUGCCGCAGUUUCUUCCUCACCCUCCACUGCCUGCAGAUUGUAUUCUUCCAGCCCUUAGAUGUUUACAUUCAUGUAUUUGAGUCCUUGUGCUGCUCAUGACCCUCCUGUAUCCUGCCCCUCUCUCUGUCUUGACUUUCUGAGCCUUCAUUUCUAUUUACAGCUCUGUUUCUCUGCUUGUGAAAGCUUUAGAUGGUUGACUUCUUGUAAACGAUUGCUCAAUUGUCAAGUGCCUUGAUAUCAGAACUCAUCCCUAGAUGCCCUCUGAUCCCUAGGUGGUCCUCUGACUUUUUGGAGUGGUGUCAGCUAAUAGCAAAGCUCCAUUUUGCCAGCUGCCUUCAGAUAACUCUUUUGGGCGCAUGCUGUGUUUUAACCUGUGUUUGCAAACCUAGCUUCUACUUGAGAGCAUUAUCUCUUAACUCAGACAAUUACGGUGCAAAGCAAAAGCCACACGAGGAAACUGCAGGAAGUGGGACUAGAAUGGAAGGAAUGUUGACUGGAAAGACAGAAUUGCACUUUAAACAGUUUUCACUAGACUGUAAAUAGGAAUGGAGUGGAAAACCAGAAGGAGAAUUCUUUGAAUGUUGUUUGGAUUUUGCAAGAGUGAGGUUUAAUGUUACACAGAAAAAAAUAUCAGGGGAAGUAUUGAACUGAAAGGAGAUCAGAAUCAACUGACAGGUAGCAUGUGUUACCUGAUAUGUUUAUCAGUAAGCCUCUUGAACUCUAUUUGUAAGUUAAAUUACAUAAAAGCCAGUCAUACUACUAAUGACUGCCGGUGAGGAGUGGUGUUUACAACGGUACUCUUUGGAUUUGUCCUAGCAUAUACUUUCUCUAGUCUUGGACUUCUUUCACAUUUUUACUCAGGGUCUGACUCACUGUUUCCUAGAGGAGGCUGAACAGACAUCACUGUAUUUUGUUCUGUUCACCUUUAAAUCAAGGACUUCUACUGCUAAAACAGAGUAGAAAUAUGUAGUAGGAUUUAGCAUGUGCCAGUAGAACACUUUACUGUGGAGAUGGUGUUUUCCUCAUUGGUAUGAAGCUUCCUGGUGUGAGAAGUUCUAUGGAAUGAUAAGCCCUGGCUGUAAAACAUACAUUUGGCACUGAAACUUAUGAAACAGAAGCACUGCUGCUUUUAGUUUCCAAUUUAAAAAUUGGAUCUGAGCAUACUCAAAAGACCUGGUCUGUAAGAAAGAUUUCCAUGGAGUAUCAACAGUGAGCUGGCUUUUUUAGAAGUUACCCUCACUCCUAUAAAUGCCAGCUGUCGAACUUCUCUGGAAAGAUUUAUGCCUGUUACAGAGCCUAAUGUGUCCUGAAGGCACUGUGCCCGGCAUUUUCGGCCCAGCUGCGCAGAAGGCAGCCCGGCGGGGCUUGUGCUUGUGGCCCGUGGCCCUGGAGUGCUCCGAGCCCUGUCAAGGCUGCUGGGGGCGGCAGCCCCGGCACAGCGGGCAUUGUUCCCAGUGUCCAUGUGAUGAGGAGGCUGCCGGGAGAGGGAGGGCCAGGCCUGCUGCCCGCUGGCGGACAGGAGUGCACGGGGCAGCUUUGAGAGCACAAACGGCUCGGGAGUAAAGUUCUGGAGUGCAACUCUUGCCCCAAAAUGAUGGGCUGAACAGCAAAGAGAGAGCCCGAGCCCGUGAGCAGGCUGCUCACGAUUCAACGCAGAGGACGAUAAGAUCCCCCAAGACUACAAGUCCCAGUGUGCAGUACUGCUUGUGCGGUUGUGUAACCAGCACCCUGGCCCGGGUGAGGUGGUGGGCAGCCAGGGCUCCUGUCCCACGCAGGCCAGGGCCAGUGCUGUUCUCAGGCGGCUCCUCUCUGCAGAAGGCAGUGGGAAAGUGCAGGCUCUGUGAGUACCAGACGCUCCAUGCUCGAGGGGUGUGAGCACCCUUUGGCUACGGAGUAUGUGUUGGGACUUGCAAACACAUCCCCACAAGCAGCCAGGGGGACAGGAGGGCAGGUUAUUGCUGAGUUCCCAAUAGGGAAAUGGGAUGGCCGUGGCCUUACCACAGCCCUGCUUCUCUGCCAGGGGAAGUUAUGCUUCCUUUCCUCAUUUUUUCUGUGUAACAAAAAUGGAAGUUUCUCUGGGCAGCAGGGUCCUAACCGUAGAAACCGUCUGGGAACAGAGAGGUCAGGCUAACUGGGUCGCGAGUGUCCGCAGGCAGUGGCUGGCAGUGUGGCCGCAGCCAUUUAGUGAGAGCACAAGGUCAGUCACUGCUGGGGUGCAAAUAGAGCCUUGUCCUCAGGAGGGAACGCUGAGCCCCAUGGAAGAAGAGUGGACUGAACAAGGUCUUCUCUGCCUGGCCCCUACCUGUCGCAGUACCUCCUGCCUCGUUCUUUGACAGUGCCACGCUUACAGGAGCCCACGCUUUCGCGGAUGGGGGCCCAGGGCUGGUGUUCAGGCAGAGCCCGCAUCACCUGGAGCUGAGGCAGGUGAGGCCCCCAGCCCUCCAGCCGGCUGUCGCUGCCCGAGUCAGCAAAAGUUGUUCCUGUCCCCGGCUCCCGGGAGUGGUUCGCUGCUGAGCUGUGCCUGCACUCCCCUUCGCUCUACGAGAGCCUGUCCCUCGCCGCGGCUCAGCCGAGCGCGCUGUGGGGCCGCCCGCCCCGCGGAGCCCGGCGUUCCCGGCUCCGUGCCGUCCUGCUCCCCGGCUGCCCUCCCAGCGCUGUCCUGCUCCCCCGGGCCGGCAGCGCGGGCGCCACGUGGCGCC
rnacentral:lncRNA from 1 species